GACGAACGCUGGCGGCGUGCUUAACACAUGCAAGUCGAACGGAAAGGCCCUUCGGGGUACUCGAGUGGCGAACGGGUGAGUAACACGUGGGUGAUCUGCCCUGCACUUUGGGGUAAGCCUGGGAAACUGGGUCUAAUACCGAAUAGGACCACGCGCUUCAUGGUGUGUGGUGGAAAGCUUUUGCGGUGUGGGAUGGGCCCGCGGCCUAUCAGCUUGUUGGUGGGGUAAUGGCCUACCAAGGCGACGACGGGUAGCCGGCCUGAGAGGGUGAACGGCCACAGUGGGACUGAGAUACGGCCCAGACUCCUACGGGGGGCAGCAGUGGGAAAUAUUGCACAAUAGGCGCGAGCCUGUUGCAACGACGGCGCGUGGGGGAUGACGGCCUUCGGGUUAUAAACCUCUUUCAAUAGGAACGAAGCGCAAGUGACGGUACCUAUAGAAGAAACACCGGCCAACUACGUG
rnacentral:rRNA from 1 species